UCUCGUGGCAUAGUGGUUAGAAUGUUCGCCUCGGAUGAGGGAGGUCGCGGGUUCGAAACCCAGCCGAGUCAU